GAUGACCUCUGGCGGCGUGCUUAACACAUGCAAGUCGAGCGAAGCGCUUAAGUUUGAUUCUUCGGAUGAAGACUUUUGUGACUGAGCGGCGGACGGGUGAGUAACGCGUGGGUAACCUGCCUCAUACGGGGGGAUAACAGUUAGAAAUGACUGCUAAUACCGCAUAAGACCACGGUACCGCAUGGUACAGUGGUAAAAACUCCGGUGGUAUGAGAUGGACCCGCGUCUGAUUAGGUAGUUGGUGGGGUAACGGCCUACCAAAGCCGACGAUCAGUAGCCGACCUGAGAGGGUGACCGGCCACAUUGGGACUGAGACACGGCCCAGACUCCUACGGGAGGCAGCAGUGGGGAAUAUUGCACAAUGGAGGAAACUCUGAUGCAGCGACGCCGCGUGAAGGAUGAAGUAUUUCGGUAUGUAAACUUCUAUCAGCAGGGAAGAAAAUGACGGUACCUGACUAAGAAGCCCCGGCUAACUACGUGCCAGCAGCCGCGGUAAUACGUAGGGGGCAAGCGUUAUCCGGAUUUACUGGGUGUAAAGGGAGCGUAGACGGCACGGCAAGCCAGAUGUGAAAGCCCGGGGCUCAACCCCGGGACUGCAUUUGGAACUGCUGAGCUAGAGUGUCGGAGAGGCAAGUGGAAUUCCUAGUGUAGCGGUGAAAUGCGUAGAUAUUAGGAGGAACACCAGUGGCGAAGGCGGCUUGCUGGACGAUGACUGACGUUGAGGCUCGAAAGCGUGGGGAGCAAACAGGAUUAGAUCCCCUGGUAGUCCACGCCGUAA
rnacentral:rRNA from 1 species